rnacentral:rRNA from 2 species
GUGUAGCGGUGAAAUGCGUAGAGAUGUGGAGGAACACCAGUGGCGAAGGGCGACUCUCUGGUCUGUAACUGACGCUGAGGCGCGAAAGCGUGGGGAGCGAACAGGAUUAGAUACCCUGGUAGUCCACGCCGUAAACGAUGAGUGCUAAGUGUUAGAGGGUUUCCGCCCUUUAGUGCUGCAGCAAACGCAUUAAGCACUCCGCCUGGGGAGUACGGUCGCAAGACUGAAACUCAAAGGAAUUGACGGGGGCCCGCACAAGCGGUGGAGCAUGUGGUUUAAUUCGAAGCAACGCGAAGAACCUUACCAGGUCUUGACAUCCUCUGACAACCCUAGAGAUAGGGCUUCCCCUUCGGGGGCAGAGUGACAGGUGGUGCAUGGUUGUCGUCAGCUCGUGUCGUGAGAUGUUGGGUUAAGUCCCGCAACGAGCGCAACCCUUGAUCUUAGUUGCCAGCAUUCAGUUGGGCACUCUAAGGUGACUGCCGGUGACAAACCGGAGGAAGGUGGGGAUGACGUCAAAUCAUCAUGCCCCUUAUGACCUGGGCUACACACGUGCUACAAUGGGCAGAACAAAGGGCAGCGAAGCCGCGAGGCUAAGCCAAUCCCACAAAUCUGUUCUCAGUUCGGAUCGCAGUCUGCAACUCGACUGCGUGAAGCUGGAAUCGCUAGUAAUCGCGGAUCAG